UACGGAAGAUGCGAGCGCUAUCCGGAUUUAUUGGGUUUAAAGGGAGUGUAGGCGGCCCUGUAAGUCAGCGGUUAAAUGUCAUGGCCCAACCUUGGCAUGCCGUUGAAACUGCUGGGCUUGAAUGCACUCAAGGGAGGCGGAAUUCGUCGUGUAGCGGUGAAAUGCUUAGAUAUGACGAGGAACUCCGAUUGCGAAGGCAGCCUUCUGGCGUGCGAUUGACGCUGAGGCUCGAGAGCGCGGGUAUCAAACA
rnacentral:rRNA from 1 species